UCCCCUUUAUAAGGACACCGGGCAGGCGGCGCGGAGGGAGUGGAGGGUGGGCCCGGGACGGGCGCGGACCCGGUAAUCUAACCCUGACUCGCAAGAGGCGUAGGCGCCGUGCUUUUGCUCCCCGCGCGCUGUUUUUCUCGCUGACUUUCAGCGUUCGGAAAAGCCCUGUGGCCUAUCGCCAUCCACCAUCCUUUCUGGAACAAACAGACAAAAAAAAAAAAAUGUCAGCUGCUGGUCCGUUCGCUCCUCCCGGGCCCUGCGGUGGCCGCCAGCCCGCCCUCUCAUCCCCCGCGUCCCGCCUAGAGGCCGCGGUCGGCCCGGGGCUUCUCCGGAGGUGCCCAUUGCCGCCGCGAAGAGUUAGGCUCUGUCAGCCGCGGGCUCUCGGGGGGCCCGGGGCGAGGCUUAGGCCUCGUGGCCGCAGGGACAGCAACGGAGCGGGUCCCCGCGAGCCUGUGCGCGUCCCUGAGCCGUGGGACUUGCACCGGGGACUUUGCUCGGACAAUCUGCAGCCGGCUCGGAGACGGCCCCGGAAGUGUGCUUUCACUGGACCGGGGCCGCCUCCCGGUACCACCACGGGAGGUCGUGGACCCCCAAACCCUGCGGAUUGGGCCGAGGUGCGGGCCAAAUGGUGGGAGACGGGAAGGCGCCUGCGAAGUUGGCCUACGAUGACAGCCGAGGUCGCCAGCUAGACGUUCCUGCGUUGAUCUAUAUAUUUUAGUCCUCCUUUAGUUCGCGUUUUUUAAUUGUGUCCUGAUUCUGCUGCAGAUUUUGUUGAGGUUUUUACUUCUCAAAGUCGACCUUAACCAGUUUCCUCAAUUGGGUGUGGAAGAGCUGUGAUUUUUGUUGUUGAGAUCAUUAAACAUUUCUUCUCCAGAAAAUGACCUCGCUUCAUCACGCCUCUGCACUUGGACUGUGGGCUGAAAUCCCGCCUAGAGACUGCUUGCGUUAUUCAGAGGCAGGUUCUUGGACACGCACACACAUGUGCCCGGCGUGAGUUUGAAGCUGUCAGGUCCAGUUGAC